CAGCAGUGUCCUUAGUUGGUUCUGAAGGGCAUUUUGCACAGUGUUUAGCAAUGAUUUGGGCCAUAUUACUUCUCAUUCUCCAAGUCUGGUCCUCCAAGUUUUUAGGCAAUUUUGUAUUUAUUUUCUGCUAUAAUCAGCCCAAACCCAUUUCUUUUGCUCUGGAACUUAGAAGUGAUCUAGUCAACUUACAUGGUAAGCAAUCAUCUAUAGCAAAAAUUUAGAGUAAAAUUAGACCAAGAUUGAUUGAACAUUCAUGUUUCAAACUGCAGAAAAUCUUGGAGUUUUUUUAGACAAUAAUAUUAAUGUUACUACUGCUAAUAAAAGAUAGCUUUAUUGAGAAACUACUGUAUGUCAUGAUCUGUAUUAAGCCUUUAUAUGAAAAAAAAAAGCCUUUAUAUGCAUUAUUUCCUGUAAUUCAAGGAAGAUAUAGGAACUCAAAUCUGAUGAAAAUAAGCCAGAUGAAAAAACAUGGCCUAUAAUCUAGUGGAGGAGGAGGAGGAUGAUGACGAUGACAAUGAUGAAGAUUAUGAUGACAAUGAUGUUGGUAAUGAUGAUAAUGAUGGCAAUGACAAUGAUGAUGACAAUGACAAUAAUGAUGAUUAUGAUGAUGACAGUGAUGUUGACAAUGAUGAUGAUGACAACAUCUGGAAUGUGGAGAAUCACAGUUAGGGUCAACCGCCUAUAUAACAGAGCUUGUUUGAAGUGUCUCAAGUCCCAGGCUCUAAUGGACCCCAACUCUGAUAAAUCACCUUCAUGCUCAGAAGGAAAGAUAAGACUUAUGCAACUAUUGCUUAUAGUGAUAACCUCUACAUCUCCUGGAAUUAGCCUCAACUUAGUGUAAAAUGAUAAGCAUAGCACAUGAGAGAUUACUCAAGGAUAGUGCUGUGGAGUGCCUAUCAGUUAAACCAUGUGGCCUGAAUGACGUAAGGAAGAAUUCACCCUACAGAAAUGAGCAGGCGAGAGAGAGGCAACGUCUGUAUUUGCAUUUGGAAAUAUCUCUGAAGACUAUCAGAUUCUGCACUUGCACAAGUAAAGAAAAUAACCUUGAAUGAGGUUGCCAAAGAUAAAUAAAUAAAUCAAUGGAAACA
rnacentral:lncRNA from 1 species